rnacentral:misc_RNA from 1 species
GAUGAAGAACGCAGCAAAAUGCGAUACGUAAUGUGGAUUGCAGAAUUCAGUGAAUCAUCGAGUCUUUGAACGCACAUUGCGCCCCCUGGUAUUCCGGGGGGCAUGCCUGUCCGAGCGUCAUUGCUGCCCUCAAGCACGGCUUGUGUGUUGGGCCUCCGUCCUCCUCCCGGGGGACGGGCCCGAAAGGCAGCGGCGGCACCGCGUCCGGUCCUCGAGCGUAUGGGGCUUCGUCACCCGCUCUUGUAGGCCCGGCCGGCGCUUGCCGACACAUCAAUCUUUUUUCCAGGUUGACCUCGGAUCAGGUAGGGAUACCCGCUGAACUUAAGCAUAUCAAUAAGCGGAGGA